rnacentral:rRNA from 1 species
GACGAACGCUGGCGGCGUGCUUAACACAUGCAAGUCGAACGGAAAGGCCCUGCUUUUGUGGGGUGCUCGAGUGGCGAACGGGUGAGUAACACGUGAGUAACCUGCCCUUGACUUUGGGAUAACUUCAGGAAACUGGGGCUAAUACCGGAUAGGAGCUCCUGCUGCAUGGUGGGGGUUGGAAAGUUUCGGCGGUUGGGGAUGGACUCGCGGCUUAUCAGCGUGUUGGUGGGGUAGUGGCUUACCACGGCUUUGACGGGUAGCCGGCCUGAGAGGGUGACCGGCCCCAUGGGGCUUGAGAAGCGGCCAGGAGUCAAACGGGGGGAAGCAGUGGGGAAUAUUGCAAACUGGGCGGAAGCCGGAUGCAGCAACGCCGGGUGCGGGAGGACGGCCUUCGGGUUGUAACCCGCUUUCGCCUGUGACGAAGCGUGAGUGACGGUAACGGGUAAAGAAGCACCGGCUAACUACGUG